CUGAGCAAGGAAGUUUUCAUUAUGAAAAUAUCUUAUUUUAUUGUUUUCGUGUUACUUUUACCACAGUAGUUAGCUGAACCAGCUCCUCAUAAAGUCCUUAUACUAAGUUCGGUCGACUGCAACUAAAUUAACAAUGUAGUUCAAAGCCAUUUCUCCUUAAAUAUUAAAAUUAUCAAGAUUUGCAUCAUUUUUAUGCCUACAGCCCAAA
rnacentral:lncRNA from 1 species